UACGUAGGGGGCGAGCGUUGUCCGGAUUUAUUGGGCGUAAAGAGCUCGUAGGCGGCUGGGCAAGUCGGGUGUGAAAACUCCAGGCUCAACUUGGAGACGCCACUUGAUACUGCCCUGGCUUGAGUCCGGUAGGGGAGCGCGGAAUUCCUGGUGUAGCGGUGAAAUGCGCAGAGAUCAGGAGGAACACCGGUGGCGAAGGCGGCGCUCUGGGCCGGUACUGACGCUGAGGAGCGAAAGCGUGGGGAGCGAACAGG
rnacentral:rRNA from 3 species